GACGAACGCUGGCGGCGUGCUUAACACAUGCAAGUCGAACGGAAAGGCCCUGCUUUUGUGGGGUGCUCGAGUGGCGCACGGGUGAGAAACACGUGAGUCACCUGCCCUUGCCUUUGGGAUAACUUCAGGAAACUGGGGCUAAUACCGGAUAUGAGCUCUUGCUGCACGGGGGGGGUUGGAAAGUUUCGGCGGUUGGGGAUGGACUCGCGGCUUAUCAGCUUGUUGGUGGGGUAGUGGCUUACCAAGGCUUCGACGGGUAGCCGGCCUGGGAGGGUGACCGGCCACAGUGGGACUGAGGUACGGCCUGGACUCCUACGGGAGGCAGCAGUGGGGAAUAGUGCACAAUGGGCGGAAGCCUGAUGCAGCAACGCCGCGUGCGGGAUGACGGCCUUCGGGUUGUAAACCGCUUUCGCCUGUGACGAAGCGUGAGUGACGGUAAUGGGUAAAGAAGCACCGGCUAACUACGUG
rnacentral:rRNA from 1 species